rnacentral:lncRNA from 1 species
CCCCUCUGGGGCCCCUCCUCGCAGCAGCAACCACCACAUCUCGCCCGCGACAGCCCACUUUGGUGAGCCCACCUCUCAUCAUGCAAGCGAUCUUUCGUGAGCAACAGGAUCUUUGUGAACAACAGGACACUGUGGCAUCAAGUAUUGUCAUGGGACACCGAGCAUUGUCUCUUCUUCUAGUUCAUCAUGACCUGUAGAUUGUACGGGCAUGUGCUCUGCCUGAGUUGCACUCUAGGUUGUACAAGCAAGUGCUCUGCCUGAAAUCCAAGCAACCUCAAUUUGCAUUGGUUGAAAUAGGAGAGCUGAGGAUGCUGAGGCUUUCUGUAUGCUUAUGACAGACACACCGGCCCAGGCGCCAUCGACACCACCAAGCGCGCCGGAUGUGCCUCCUCUGGAGCGUGCUCGAGCCAUGUGUGUGCUGCUGGGGCUGAGCAACACUGCAGAGAAGGACUUGAUACCUGGCUCCCUGGCAGCUGCCAGGGCCUCCAUCCGAACAGGAGAAGUCUUUCUUGAAAGCGCUUACGCCGAUGGGAUCGACUCGUAUGUGCAGACUGCGUAAGUUCAGCUCAUGCUGCAUACAGUGUAUGCAGCAUGAAUGAUGGAGGACAUCUUAGAACGCACGCUGCUGGCUGUGAAUAUGGACCGUGUAACAGAUGUGCUG